AACACAUAUUGAACCGGAAGACAGUUCAUCGACUAUAUGAAAACCAUACAACUGAAUUAAUUACCCUACAGCAUGAGCUUCCCAAAUCAAGUUAGGAUAGACUGCAGAUGCUCAAUAAUUCUGAGUAUAUGAAAUCAAAUGGCACACAUAUCUUGACAUAAAAUCCCAAGCGAAUGGGCAUACAAAUCCUCUUGAUCUACAAAUGUCCUUUCUGAGUGAGGUAGGAGGCAUUGUCAAUUUUAAAUACACUACAUGGGCACCAAAAUUUGAAAUUCACUCAUCUCACCCAUACCACACUAGAUGAGAUUUUUUUCAUAGUUAUCACUUAACUUGACCUCAGCCCUACCGUGCUCAAUGCCUCAAUGAGAUUGGCCUAGAAGGCUAGAGCAGUUUAUCAUGGAACAUCAGUUGUAGCUGUUAGAAUAUGUCAAUUGUAUCUAUAGGAUACUCUUCCAUAUAUGUACGAGUUGUAAUUGUAAUCUGUACAAACUCUUGUAUGUUCUCUAUAUAAUGAAAGCAUCGGGAGACCCUGCUGGUUAUCCCGCUACUGCAUUUCUUUCUAUAUGGUAUCAGACGCCUAAACUUUCCCAACGGAAAUCUCGAUCCAAUCUACCUCUCUCUCUCUCUCUCUCUCUCUCUCUACUCCAAUGGCGGCGCCGACCUCUUCUUCCACCGCUCCUCUCGCCUUUGGCCUUCUCCCUGUUGUCUCGGAGAAGCUUACCCGCGGAAAUUAUAACAUGUGGCACGCCACCGUGUCGUCCGCGCUCAAAGGGGCUCGCUUGGCGGGUUACAUCCUCAAGACCGC
rnacentral:lncRNA from 1 species